UGUGCACGAGAAAAAGGUAUUAAUCUUCCUGAAAACGCAAUGAAAUAUACCUGAUAGUGUCAUCGACAAACUUAAAGAUGAUAAGGCAACUGUUAACAGGUUUCAUGCUGUGAAUGUGAAAUAUUAACUUUAGUCACAUAAC